AUGCACGCUGGCGGCGUGCCUAAUACAUGCACGUCGAGCGAACAGACGAGGAGCUUGCUCCUCUGACGUUAGCGGCGGACGGGUGAGUAACACGUGGAUAACCUACCUAUAAGACUGGGAUAACUUCGGGAAACCGGAGCUAAUACCGGAUAAUAUAUUGAACCGCAUGGUUCAAUAGUGAAAGACGGUUUUGCUGUCACUUAUAGAUGGAUCCGCGCCGCAUUAGCUAGUUGGUAAGGUAACGGCUUACCAAGGCAACGAUGCGUAGCCGACCUGAGAGGGUGAUCGGCCACACUGGAACUGAGACACGGUCCAGACUCCUACGGGAGGCAGCAGUAGGGAAUCUUCCGCAAUGGGCGAAAGCUUGACGGAGCAACGCCGCGUGAGUGAUGAAGGUCUUCGGAUCGUAAAACUCUGUUAUUAGGGAAGAACAAAUGUGUAAGUAACUAUGCACGUCUUGACGGUACCUAAUCAGAAAGCCACGGCUAACUACGUG
rnacentral:rRNA from 1 species